AGGUGUAUAGCUCAGUGGUAGAGCACAUGCCUAGCAUGCACGAAGUCCUGGGUUCAAUCCCCAGCACCUCCA
rnacentral:tRNA from 1 species